rnacentral:rRNA from 1 species
UACGAAGGGGGCUAGCGUUGCUCGGAAUGACUGGGCGUAAAGGGCGCGUAGGCGGAUGGCACAGUCAGAUGUGAAAUUCCCGGGCUUAACCUGGGGGCUGCAUUUGAUACGUGUUGUCUAGAGUGAGGAAGAGGGUCGUGGAAUUCCCAGUGUAGAGGUGAAAUUCGUAGAUAUUCGCAAGAACACCAGUGGCGAAGGCGGCUCACUGGCCCGGUACUGACGCUGAGGUGCGAAAGCGUGGGGAGCAAACAGG